rnacentral:rRNA from 1 species
UACAGAGGUCCCAAGCGUUGUUCGGAUUCACUGGGCGUAAAGGGUGCGUAGGUGGUGGGGUAAGUCGGAUGUGAAAGCUCGGAGCUCAACUCCGAAAUGGCAUUGGAAACUACCCUGCUAGAGGAUUGGAGGGGGACUGGAAUUCAUGGUGUAGCAGUGAAAUGCGUAGAGAUCAUGAGGAAGACCAGUGGCGAAGGCGGGUCUCUGGACAGUUCCUGACACUGAGGAGCGAAAGCGUGGGGAGCGAACAGG